AAAGAGAAAAGAAAAAGCGAGCGAGCAGCAGCCAAAGAAAAGAAAAAGGAGAAGCGAGCGGGCAGCAGCGAGACCUAGCCGGCUUCUCCCCGCAGCCGCCUCCUCUCCUGCUGCCGCCGCCGCCUCUCCUUUCUCACCCUCACCGGCCACCGGCCACCUCCCACCCCUCCUUCUCCGCCUCGUCGCCCUGGCCACCUUGUGCUGGAGCCGAGGAGCGACUCGGCAGGACGAGGGGAGCAGAGCAGCAGCCAGCCGCGCCUCGUCCAUGCCGCGUGGUGGCCCAGAUGCGGCCGCUCCCUGCUCUGUAUGCGCCCGUCGGCCUCGAUCCGACCUUGGCAGGAGGAGCUCGAGUCGAAGAGCGCGGCCUCGAUCCGGAAUCGGCAGGAGGAGGGGAGCAGCAGCCGGCACGCCUCGUCGCAAGUGAUCCCCCAUCUCUUCUGGUUGCACCUCCCCCUGGAUGGACCAUGGAUUUAAUUGUACCCUCUGAAAGCCACACAAAUUCAAGUAACCAAGAACUUCAGUGAGAGUGUAUUUGCCAACUGUGCAAGCGUGCUUCUCUACAUGGGCGGCGUCACCACGACCAGUUUGACGAUUCAAGCCAAGGGUUGCAUUAUAUCUUCACUUAUCAUAUCUAUUAUUUUGAGGAUCACAGAAACAAAACACAUAUUUUAUAGGUGUUCCUAAUGGCAACAGUGGUAAUCAACGAUGAGAGAAAAAAGGUGAGACUGGAUUUGUACUAGGUAUGUUCCUCAUCUCUCUGUCCUUGUUCUAAUCCCCACCCUGAUGUAAUCGCUUCUUCACAACUGCUGGAUGUCUCUUAGGGGAUGAAUGCCAUGGAUUAUUUACAUUCUUUUUAAGCUGGCCACUAAUUAAACUGCUCGCCCCUUUGUUAAAGCUAAUCAUAGUAAUAUCUGGUGAUCGACCGGCUGAUGCGUGCAGUGGCAACCACAUUCAUGAUGAUGAACUUAAUCAAAUUUGUAGUUAAGUUAGUGCUAAAUCGCACUAGAGAUUCCAUUGACAGGUUCCUUUUGCGGAUCUAAAAAUGGAGGCGUUGAGCGUAUCAAAACUCAUAAAGGAUUUUAAGAUCGCGAAGAUUGAUAGGUGGGCAAAUAGGGUGGCGCAUGAGAUUGCAAAAUUCAGUUUUGGCAGUAGGUCCGAUGGCCUCUUAUGUAAUAGUGUUCCGCCAUGUGUAACUGCUUUUGUAAUGAACGAUUGUAAGAAUCUUAAUUUACCAAAUUAAUAUAUGGGGGUUUUCAAUAAAAAUAAAAAAAUAAAUCGCACGUGUGUAUAUUCAGGUUCAGUACGUGUUACAGUUGUCAAGCAUAAGCUCACGAGCAGUCAAGCAGUUUUAUUAGGAUAUGUAGAUUUAAAAAGAAAUAGGUAGAGUCACUACAAUAAAUAUCAGUAGCAUGCACUAUAUAUGUAUGCAGAACAGAUCGUAGUCAUGAUUUUGUAUUGCUCGGAUCUCGGAUCGAGAUUCGUAUACACCGGUCAUUGAUUCAGUCUUAAGGGAUUACAUGAAAAUGACUUAUAGUAGCCAGUGCUACCACUAAUAGUGCAAUUGUAUAUUUUGAGCAAGGAAGCACGUUAACCACUCAGUAUUAGAGUAAGAUGCUACAUGCCGAAGUACCAUCUAAAAAGGACAGAUAUUUACUUUGUGAAAAAUCUUGGUAGAAAAAUAGUGUAACCUUUUGGCAGUGGAUUGCGUAUAAUACCACGACACUGCUAUAUCUGUCAAAACCUGAGCUACAUAUAGUAGUUAGUAAAUGGAAUUUUUUGAUGAACAUACUACUGUACAAUGAUUAUGCUAGCAAAGCUUCGUCCUCGGAUGAAUAUGAGAUGCAUUCUUUGGCCCCUCUAAUUUCCAUGUGAAGAACGUGAUCUUGUGACUUGCUUGUUCAUUCUCCCUUUAUGCUAAAUCUAUUUCUUUCCAAAAGGCAUACUACUCUUCUUGUGCUUCCUUUAUGCUCUGUUUCUUUAAUAAGCCCAAUUAUUUUCAGCUUAAAUUUGAUAAGUUAGUGUUUCAUGAUCCAGAUAACCAAAACUGGGUCCUCUACCAAGCACCUGUCCAGCCCUGUGCGAGCUACACUUCAAUUUGUAUUCUCAGAUAGUAGCGGCUGCCUGCAGAGGAGAGGUCGAGGACGGGUCCCUAUUCAUGUAGGAGACACCAACAUAGAUGAGCUAUUUCUUCCACUUUUCCUCAUCUUUCCAUGGUUGCUUGGUCGGAUUUGUUGCAUGAGGUAGGAGAAGAAUAAGAAAAUUUGUCAGAUUUUUCGUGUGCAAGUUCGGCAGCGGGCAAUGGUCGAGAUAGAGUCGGGUGCACAUCAUAUAUAUACAAGUACCUCUAAUUUAACUCUAUAUGGAAGAUUUAAAAGCCUUUGUGAAAGAUUCCGGUUUUGUAGAAGCCGAUGAUCAGACACACCAUGACCUUACUUCUGGAUACAAUAUUGAUGAGGUUAAUUCUUUACAAAAGUAGAUUUCAGUGUUUUUUGCCGCAUUUUGAUGGGUUCCUCUUUUCCUUGUUUUCAGAAUUGUUGUGACUACAUUUUUCUGCAUGCCAUUCAUGUUGCAAUAUGUUUGCUAAAUUAAAUGUGCUCUACUUGAAAGAAAAUAACGCACAUCAUAAUCAUAUGCCUUGCCAGGCUAUGGUUGACUACAUGCUAAGAUUUCGUUCCAUUAUGCUUAUAUUGCUAGGCUUUUAGUUCAUCCUUCUCUUUCCCUAGGUGGCUACUGCCAAGUACAUAGACGUCUAUUUACUUGCUAGGCCUGAUUGGAUUUUUCAUCUUUUUUACCCGUUAUUCCCUUUGGACCUAUUGAUCUGCGAAUUUGCUUUACAACUGACGGUGCCUCAUUAUGUGAUACUGAAACUAAACAAAUGUGCGUAUUUGGGAAAUUGAUAAUCAAAUAUUGGACUUCGAAUCAACAGAAAAGAGAUGCUUUGUGACCAAAUAUAUAUCUCUGAAACGUCUGCACAAUAAUGUUAUAGUUUAUGUUAGAUGGCAAAGUUUCAGAUUUUUAUUAUGACAGCAAGAUGCCAACGCAAGGUGCUUGUGCAUGAAUAAACCAUAUGAAUAUGAGAUGCACAACUUCCUGUGCAAUUCUGAGACUUUUGGGCAAGUCAUCUCCAUAGGUGUGAAAGAAGAUUCUGAUUACAUAUAAGAAAAUCAUCCAAUUUUUUGUUCAUCUGCAUCCAUGCGGCGAUACCGCCUGCAAGAUAUACUCCAUCGCUUCUAAGCAUCACAUUGGCAGGUCGAUUCCUCGGGUGGAUUGGAUUCUCACCCGCUCCAAGUGAAACUUGAGCGACGGCAUGGUAUACUAAUGGAGUAUGCACCCGAUGACUCUGCCUAAUGUUAACGACUAUAUGUUUUGGUCUUACAUAAUAGCAGCAUUCCUCAGCACCUUGUUGUUUAAGUUCACAAGUUGCGGGUUCAGAAGAAGAGUCGUUGUUUUCUGCUGUAACCGCCUUGUUGUUUUCUUGCAGCAAGGGACUACCAAAGAAGAGAUGAUGCGGGUUCAGAAUCUGACAUUAUCUGUGUUAGUGCUGGCAGAUCCAAAGGCGGAAAGAAACGGACAGUUUCACACACUAGCAACCGUAGGAUCAUCAGCAAAAAGCAUACCGUGAUGAAAAAAAUCAGAAUCCCAACAAAAGUGCUUUUUGAUGCUAUGAUGCAGCAGCUAGGCCUCCCAAAUGCAGUGUACUCAACACAGAAGGCAAGAGCAAUUGGUCUUGACGCAACUAUUCACUUCUAUCCCUCCAAGCAUCAACUGGACAACAAAUCUUCCAAAAUAAUCAAUAUCAAUCCAUGUAUCCAACAAACUAGAAGAUGCUGAAGACCAACUAGCAAACGAAGCUCUCAAGUACAUGAAAACCAUCCAUGGUAAAGUGUUGCAGGACAUAAACUAUGACAAAGAUGCAACUGCUUCAGCAAAAGUGUGAAUCUCUUGAGCAUCAGCAGAAAGAAAAACACAACCUAAUAGACUAUUUUAGCAACAGCUGGUGCCAUAGCCUCGGUGGAGAUCACAUGGCAUCAAAGGAACUUUACUGUAUAAUAGAUAGCAACUUCACAGCCGGAUCAACAUCCAAAGACAAUGAUCUGAAUCACAUUUUGUCGCAAGUAAGAUAUGUUGUUGAUCGUCUCAGUGAUACAGCCACAUAAUUAGAUUAUCAUCUCCAACAGACAUGAACAAUUGCCUGAACAAAUCUUUAGUGUCGAUGAAACAUCCACCAAUUACACUGGCUAAUGUCCAUCACUUCAUAAUGCCUAUAAGAUGUAUCUCUGCCUAUCUACCUUCUUUCCUAAUAACAUUGUAAAUAUUCUAUCGUAAGCUUCUUAGGACACUAUGUAUCAUGAAUAAUCCAUGUGUUCCAAUUUGUCCCUAAAUAUAUUUAUGUUCACUCUUUCAAUACUUUCCUUGCUCUCGCCCCUUGCGCCAUCGGCGCAACGGGCCAUCUAGUAUGAUGAAACUGUGAAGGAAAAAUAACACAUGAGCAAAGUUCCUGUGUUAACUGAGGCAACUACCGACAGAGUAUUGGGCAAGUUUUGACAAAAUUCAAAGCCACCUAAGUAACAAAACCAUUAAAUGCAAAUUAUGAACCACAUCAGGCAACCAAGCAACAAACAUUAGGCAAGUUGAAAAGCAAAAACAAGCAACUACUAAUCAAUUGGCGUGCAAGUUUUGUUAAAAAGGGGGGAAGCACACUAGUGCCAAGCUCAAAAAGCCGCAAAUUUGGCAACCCAAGCCCGCAUAUCUAGCAACUCGUAGCCUCUACCAGGCAACUAUCCAUCCCGCAACCCUCUUAAAUAUCGCCAAGGUAAUGCCGACUUCGAGGCCGCAAAUUUGGCAACCCAAGCCCGCAUAUCUAGCAACUCGUAGCCUCUACCAGGCAACUAUCCAUCCCGCAACCCUCUUAAAUAUCGCCAAGGUAAUGCCGACUUCGAGGCAGAGCAAUGGUUUGUCGUGCCCAAAAAAAUAGUUCAGACCUCAUGGAGAAGAGAAGGGAUUUACCUCAUGGAGAUGAACGAAGGUGGUGUCACUGUGCCAUCUCCCGCUUCUAGUUUUGAGCCGCCUCAGGCAACUAACUAAAAAGCAAGUAGGCAGAAUAAAUUAAACUGAAUAAAACCAUAUGGAACAAAGCUAGCAAAAAAGGGCAUAUGUGAAACCUAGACUAAAAGAAAGAUAUAUGAAUCUAUGCUAAAAAAGGAAUGCCGCACCUUCCCCACAUACGGUGACAUGCACGAUCCUGAUUCUUCAAGGAAAAAUAUUUAUGUGUACAUAUCUCUACUAGCAAGUUUCGAACCAUCUCAGGCAACUAACCAGCGAAAAAACAGUAGGCAAAAAAAGUUUUAGACGAGAUAUGUACAUGUCAGGUAACUCAUGAUAGAGCCUUUGCGAAAACAGUAAAGCAAUCAGCUAUGUGUAGUACAAAAAAGACAAGCCUUGACAAGUCUGGGCAGAAAAAGACAAGUAAAUCUACAUAACAAGUAGAGAAGGACCAGCAAACUAUCUGAUGGUCAUAGCAGCACAUGUCAACAAUUCAGAUGUUUCAGUCCAUUUUCUUUGAUUGGACAAAUUAGACAUCAUAUAAGAUAACUAUACAAGUUUCAUUUCUCCAUCCAGCAACUCAGCCCUGGAAUGAUUAUGCAACUUGACAGUACGUUACUAGGCUUUAGUGGAUGAAGAACAUGACCACAUGCAUCAUGCAUGCAUAUUGUUUUGGCACCUCCCCUCCAUCUUGAAUUCUAGCACCUCCCCUGCUUCUGGAGGCUGAUGUGCCCCAUCUUUUAGCCGGAACGACCAAUGGAUUUGCGUACAUUUUUAUUUUUCAUUAUUCCAAAAACAUUUCAGUAUGUAGUACAAAAGUUGCAAGUAAACAAUUGUUGCUGCCGUUGCUUCCAAAAACAAUCACCAAGUACGCCUAGCCUGCCUACGGUAAUACAAUUGUUGUAGUCAAUCAGGCAAAACAUGGUUUCAGUAAAAAUGAUACUAAGACAACAAAAAUCAGAAGCAUCAGCGAUAAAAAGUCAGGCACCUACAUGACUACAACUCGAAGAUAUCAACUCGUCACUCCUAUUUCGAUGUGGCAAUCCUCUUCUUCCUUCCCACUUUAAUUUAGCUGGGCAUUUCAUCGACCAGUUGGUGCACGCCUACCAUCAAGCUGGAGCUUGUAUUUCUCACGGCGGCACAUGCAGAGCGUGUACGCGGCCGAGGAGCUGCUGCACUUAGAAGUUCGCGCACUACUAGUGUGAGGAUCACACUACUAUUCCUCUUAGUUCAUCACUGAUUCACCAAUUACAGCUCCGAAUUACAGAAGAAUCUCAAGAGAAAGGGGAUCAGAGGAAGGAGAUGAUGAACAGGAGUCAGAGAGCCUCGGCCGAAGCCGCCGGUCCGUUCCAGGCCAAUCCCUCUUGUUCGUGGCAUCUUCUGCCAUAUUUGUAGCAGCCGCUGCCGAGCAGGCCAAGGUCCAAGAGUAGCCCAUGGUCUGGCCCAACAGUGGUGUAGAGCUUCACAUCUUGAGUCCAGGUCGGAUGCAACAUUUGUAGGAAUAGUUGCCCAAGAACCACAAUCACAAGAAAGGCACUUGACCGACCCAACAUGUACCAAUGAUUCGAGCUUCUGAAGCAUGCACAUGGAAAGCUGGAUGCAUCAACCAUACACAGCGAAGAGGGCACCCAAGCAAUCUUCCAAACCAUCAGGCAAGUGAGUUUAAACCCCAAGGCAGUCACUAUAGAAUUAAGAGGCAUGAGCUUGUGAAACUUGCCAGCUCACCAAUUCAAUAGCAGAGCACUUGAUUAUGAUGUGCAGAUAUGUAACGCCCACGAU